GACGAACCGUGCGAUCGUUGUUCGGAAUCACUGGGCUUAAAGGGCGCGUAGGCGGGCUGCCAAGUCUGGGGUGAAAUCCCACGGCUCAACCGUGGAACUGCCUCAGAUACUGGCGGCCUCGAGGAGGGUAGGGGCAUGCGGAACUAUGCGUGGAGCGGUGAAAUGCGUUGAUAUGCAUAGGAACGCCGGUGGCGAAGGCGGCGUGCUGGACCCUUUCUGACGCUGAGGCGCGAAAGCCAGGGGAGCGAACGGG
rnacentral:rRNA from 1 species